rnacentral:lncRNA from 1 species
CAUCCGACAAGAGGCCAAGGUUUUGGGCCAGGAGGUAGCGGGAGUUGCUUGGCGUUUUGGCUUUUUAGCUUCUGGGAUUUUGUCAAGUAAAUUAAAGCCACAGCUAAGAGAAGAAUUAGGUAUGGGAAGCUCAAUGAAGUUUUGAGAAAGCCAAUGACAAUGCUUGCAAAACAUAGUGUUGCUUGAAAAGGAGCUAGGAUUCUGCAAGAAAUUGCAGAGGUAUAUUCUCCAUGAUCACAAAACUCUUUACUGAGACUGACAUGUUUAUAAUUUACUGAAAAUGGGAAGAAACUUUCGAACUCUGAAGGAUGUGCACACAUUCCCUCUAACUUUGUCUCCUAUUUAUAGAGCUUGGAGGACUGCUUUUACCUAGUUUUCUAGAAAGUUUUUUUAACGCAUUGAUUAUUAAUUUUUACGGUUUUUUCUUGAUUAUUUUUAACAUUAAUAAUCUUUUUACUUUUCUAUUCUCUUUUAUAUAACAAAACAAAUGAAAGGUUAAAAUAUUUUAAUAUUUGGUUUGAAUUUGACUCAAAUUUGGCCGCUUUUUUAAUUUAUUUAAAUUCGUCCAAAAUAUCUAAAAAUCGAAUUAAUUUCAAUCAUCAAUAAAAUUUCAUUGAGCCGAACUUAAAUAAUAAUAUAUUCGGAUGGGUUUUUGUAAUUUCUACUCAAUAUACCAUGUUAGGAAAUCUCCUAAUAUGGAAGGUGAUACUCGCAUAAACCUACAAGUAAAUCUGAAUGAGUACUCCCCAUUUAACAACUUUAAUUAUUCAAAUCAUUUUUAAGCAAUUCAUAUGGUUUUUUUUUUUAAAGUAGUUUAAAUAAAUACAACUAGUCAUAUUUAGAGAUUUUCAUUUUUCAAAUAUCAUAUAUUUUAGAUACUACAGUAUUACUUUUUUCAUGAUCCUCCCAAACCUAGUCAAAAUGGCAGAUAUUCUUACUUUUAUAAGAAGUAGUUUUGUAACUGUUAAAAGAACAUAUAACAUAGCUAUCUCUCCAUUCAAUAUAGGAAACAAAUAAAUAAAUUUAACUUUGGUAUUGUCUGCAUUGGGUCGAGGGGUAAAAUCAACUAAGACCUUUUAUUACCUUCUUCUUUUCUCUAUUCUUUCCUUUAGUGUUUAGUCUUUCAACAAUGGAGGUCUACUUAAAUUACGUUAAUUUGACUAAAUAUCAUAUACAUUCCUACAAUUUAUGAGUUGUAUUUCAAUUUUGAAUUAAGGUUAAGAUAAUCGGCUGUGAACUAUAAACGUGUUUUCCUAUCUAUUAAAAGAUGUAAGCAAACUAAUUCUAAUUUUAGAAAAUUAUAAUAUUUUAUACCAGCAAAGUGCUAAAAAUCUUAAAUUUAAUUAUUAUUAUUUUAUUAUGUGAAUAAUAACGAGAUCAAAUAUUGAAAUUCACGUAUAUUAAUUAUUAAAAUUCCCUGAGGAACAUAAAUCUUGCGACUGCUAUCUCAGAAUCGCCACCGCGAUAUGCCUAAUUUGAAUUCCAACUGGCAUGACCACAAUAUUGGGAGCAACAAAGUCUCUAUUAUAUUGGUGAAAUCGCGUCUGCAAUACGAGUUUUGUUAUUGCGGCAUUCUUAACUGUUUGGAAGCCUAAAACAACCAUAUCCAUAAAGUCCAAUGAAGAAGCGCCACAAGAAAAAGAGCCAUUGUAACUUUAAGAAUUGCAACCGCAAUUCAGCAAGUGCGUUCGAUAUUGAGCAAGCACAACCACUAUUCUUUAGUUGUGACCGCAACAGUUCUGACAAUACAUUUCUGCACUAGCUUGAGCUAAGAAAAAAGAUGAUCGGUAAGAGUUAUGUGAGUAAUGCUUCUUUGGUAGUUUGGAACUAUAAAUACUCCCUAGACUAUUUAUAAAUGAUGAACAACCUAAUAUAACACAUUUUAUUGAUCCUUUAAUUCUCACAUUUGUGUAUCAAUUUUAUCUUUAUAAAAAGUUGUUGUAAAAGUUUAAGUGUUAGCCUUAAGCACUUAGAUGGGUCUAAGAGUUAGCCUAGUGAUAAAGACUCUUGUAAGGGUUUGAGUGUGAGCUACAAACACUUAAAAAGAAAAGUUUAAGAAUUAGCCUAGGUAAAAAAACUUUUAUGAAGUUUGAUAUGAAUCUAAAUACUAAGUUUGAGAGUGACCUUGGAAAAUAUUCUAGUGUAUAGGUUUGAGAGUGAGCUUGUAAAAUACUUGAGUUCAAUCUUUCACCCGCAAAAGGAUCAACAAUAGUAAAAUACUAAUUGAAAAUUGAGGAAUGUAUGUAGGGUUAGUUAAUACCCAAACUACUAUAACUUUUUGUGUUGAUUUUUCUUCCCUCUUUAUCUAAUCCUCUGAGCAAAUUUUAAUUACCCAUCAAUUUUUUAACACUAAUUCAACCCUCUUUCUUAGUGCAUCUAGGUCAAAUAUGAAAUAAGGACACUAAAGUUACUUGCUUUAAAAUAAAAGGACACUAAAGAUACUACUAAUAAUAAAAAUUUGAUUAUGAUAUCAAAAACAAGCUUAAUAGUAAUGUAUUUUACGUAUUAUUUUUAUUUUUUAUUUAUAUUUCAUACUAAUAAUUAAAAACUAAAUUUCAAGCUAAUUUCAGUCACUAAUAAAUUUUUUAUUAAGCCGAACUUAAACAGUAACAUAUUCGAAUUGGCUUGUGUAAUUUUCACUCAAAAUGCAAUGUUAGGAAAUAUCCUAAUAUCAAUAAAAAAAAUAUUUAACAUAUAUAGUCUACUAUCUAUUUAGUUUAUAUUAGAAAUUAUAAUAAUUUAGAUAAAAAUUACUAAAAUAAUUAUUAUAUAAAAUAUAAUAAGUUUAGCUAUAAGAUAUGAAUAUAAAAUUAAUCUAUAAAUAUAACAUAUAAUUUAUUAAUAGAAUAUGUAAUUAAAUUCUGUAUAAAGUACGAUUAUUAAACUAAUUCUGUUAAUAGUUUCAAGUCCUUAAUUUAUAAAAGGUACAAACUAACUUCUUAUGCAGGUAAUAACUUCUGCCACUUUGACUAGGUUUGGAAGGAUCAUAUAAUAGUAUUACUAUAGUCAUCUAGAAUAUAUGAUAUUUGAAGAACGAAAAUCUAUAAAAUAGGACUAGUUCUAUAUAUUUUUAAAUUAUUUAAAAAAACAUAUUAAUUGCUUAAAAGUAAUUUGAAUAAUUAAAGUACUCGUUAAAUAGGGAGUCCUCAUUUAGAUUUACUUGUAGGUUUAUGCUCUAGCAAUGAAGCCGGACGGUUCCGGUUCAUAGUUCUGAUUCUGGCUAGUUCUAACCAAUUUUUAGAAAAUAAAAAAUUAAUUAAAAUAAAUUAUUUUUUAUGAAUUAGAGUUAUAUUUGAUAGUNNNNNNNNNNNNNNNNNNNNNNNNNNNNNNNNNNNNNNNNNUAAAAAUAAAUAAAUAAAAUUAUCCUUAAAUUCUCUCCGUUCAAUUUAGGAAAGAAAUAAAUAAAUUUACCUUUGGUAUUUUUUGCAUUGGGUCAACCAACUAAGAAUUCUUUUUACAUUCUUUUCUCUAUUCUUUCUUUUAGUGUUUAGUGUUGCAACCUUUUUUUGUUUCCAAUUUAAGGUUCUUGAUUAGAUAUAUAUUUAUACAUCGGUACAUUAGCAUAUUAAUAGCUUUUCAAUCAAUAGAUAAAAGAAGUUUUAUAUUUCUACAGUUUAAUUAAUAUUUAUAAAAAAAAUUAUUUUUUAUUUUUAUGUGUUUGAAGAAAAUGAAAAAAUAAAAUUAGUAUGAUAAAAUAUAAUUUAUUUAUUUAUAUUAUAAAUAACUAAGAAGUAUACGGAUGAUUAUUCCUUAAUCAUUAUUUUACUAUUAGAUUAUAUUAUUUUAAUAUUUAAAAUAAUUUUUACAGAUAAUAUUAUAGUAUUCAUAGCCAUAGCAGUUAGUUAGCUUUUCUCGAUUUGGUGACCACAGAAAGAAAUGUCAUCUAUCAAUAUUUCAAAUUUCAUGUGAAUUUCCAACUGUUCUAAUGGACCACUGUACAAAUUCGAAAUUCUUAAAUAUGCAAAACGUUUGAAUUGAUAUUAAGUGAAAGUUAAAAAUAAAGGUCGAUAAAUUGAUAAUAAAAAUAUUAAAUAAUAAUACUAACUUAGAAUUAUAAUUGAAUGUAGCUUAUUUCUAAAUAUAAAAAAUAAUAAUAUAAAUAAUUAUUAAAUUUUAUAUUUAAUCUCAUUUUAAUAAUAAAUUUUUUAUGUUAUUAGAAUCAUUCAAUUUUAAUUUAGUUACUAAUACAACAUAUCAAUUUUUAUUUGUAAAAAUAACUAAAUUAAAAUAUAAUCCAAAUAAACUAAAAUUUCAUUAUUAAAUAAAUAAAUAAAAAUAUUAUAUUAUUUUUAUGACUAUGUUUAUAUAAUAUUAAAAUUAUAUUUUAUAUAUCAAAAUUAUAUGGUGCAUUAAUGUCUUCAUGGCUCGUGGUCCAACUCCCGGCUAAUGUAUGUGAUUUUUAAGUGGGUAUUUUUCCCCACUACUAGCGGUUCACACCGGCUCACCGUCAGGACAUGUUUACUGUAAGCAUGUUUAUAUUAGCAUCAAAGUUUGUCAGAACAUGUUUACCAUAAGCAUGUUUAUAUUAGCAUCAAAGUUUGAAAGGGACGUUUUUUCAUAAAAUUUCAGGUUGAAAUAAUUGUUCAGCAAAAGAUUGCCAACCCUACCAUGAAAAAGCUGAUGAUGGAGCUUUUUCUAACUCAUGCAUUUUGCUCUAUCUGUUUUAUAGAAAAUAUAUUCUAUAAAAGUACUGUCACGAUCUGAUUUGUGGGUUCCGUGACCGGCAUUAGAAAAUGAGUAGGCGUAAGGCUAUCGAAUUCUGUAGUAAGCAUGACCAUUUACUAACUUAAUUAAAUCUCAAUCCAAUAGCACUCAUCCACAAUUAACCUUAACUAUUAGGUUCUAUAUAUUUAGAAUAUGGACUGCCAGCAUUAAUAGGAAAGAUCAGAAUUUAUACGAAAUUACAAAAUGAUAAAUUUAAAAUUUUUAUUGUGGAGAUUUUAGAAAUUUAAAAGUCAAUAUACCAAUAAAAUUAGUUACAUUAAACUCGAAGAUGAAGGAAUCGGGCUGCUGGAUGAAAAGAACUACGGAAAAACUAGCCACAUCUGAAAAACAGUUAAAUUGAGACUGUCAGUCUCGGGAGUGAGUUAAAAUUAUAUAUCCAAAAACAAUUACAAACACUUCAAUAACACAUUUAUUUAAUUUAACAUAAAAUAUCAAGUCAUGCAAAAAUAUACGUGUCAUGCCAUGCUUCUAUAAAAUAAAUUUCACAUACUACGGGACGGAGAACUUCAGUAGAACCCUAAUCCCCAUUACUAAACAGUCUUAGCCCUUCGGCUCUCUCGUUCCAACAGAACUGGCGCCCAAAGAGCAAAGCUCGACCAUGGUCCUUAAAUCUAGUCUGGUCACUUAUAUUUCCAAUAAAGUCGGCGCCCAGAGAGCAAUGCUCGACCAGGGAUCUUUACUCCCGCAAACUCAUUCCACUCAGCCCAGAGAGUUAAAUUCGACCAGGGCAAGUCCUAAACCAUUCUUCUAUUACCUUGCUCAAAUUCAAACCGGUGCACACGCAGUCUUGAUGCAACCAUCAGGUGGCAUGUUCUACCUGUCGUCCCGUCCCGAGUCAACAUACACUCACAAUAGCAUUAUGUAGAAAAUGAUACAUAUAUGAAUAGUAACUAAAUGAAUAAUUUAAGUCUAUAAUUAAUUAAUCACAAUUGCUAUUUAAAAUCUGUAUAUGACACAUGUAAACAGAUAUAUGAUUUUAACUCACAAUUCUGACGACCUCCUAGCUCUGCUCCGAUGCCUUAGGUGGAGCGAGCCGAACUGACGGAUUUAUCUAAUCAUGAAAAUAUUUAAAUCAGUAAAUAUAAGACCUUUGGCAAUUAACCCUAGGCCUAGACUCCUAGAAUUAUUGUCUAAAAAUCUCAACUCAGAAGAAUUCUAUAGAAAAUUCGGCAGAACCUCCUCUAAAUUACAGACUUUUAUCCCCCGUAUAACAGGUCCAGGACCUACCAGAAAACACUUCAAUUAUACAGUGAUUAAUUAUUAGGAGUCGGGCCACCAAAACUGCAUUAAUUUUUUCGACUCCGUAACACAACAUAAAACACGAUUAUUAGCAGACGAUCCGACAAUUAAAUAUUUUAACUAACAAUCCUCACAAUAAUUUUUUAAUGCUCAACACAAUUAAAUAAACACAUAAUUUCAUCAACAACCUCUAAAAUCUACAGUUUGAGAAAUUACCGAGACGCUUGAUCACUCGGUCGACUCGUCUCCAGCCACCGGAGUCUGAUUGAUGAUUCGAGCACGCCUACGGACUCGAGACAACGAACUGACGAUGAUUCCAACUUUCGAUCUUCCGAUCCGACCCCCGAUCAUACAGAGACAUUUACGGACAAUCUCGACCGUCGAUUUUCAAACAGAGUCCGAUCGCCACGAAACCAGUGCUAUUGGAAAGCUUGAGAUAAGGAGAGUCCGGAUAUGCCUUCUGAUCAUCCAUCCCCCGCUGGAAUUCGUCGGAAAAGCCCAAAAUUCUGGCUGCCCCUAAUCUUUUCACCUCUCCAGAUCUUGCAAUUCCGAGAGCCUGAAGGGGUGGCGAUGGUCGGAAAAGGAAGCCUAGAAGUUGCUGAUCAUUUUGAGCUUAAGAAUGUCGCAAAUGGUUGCCGGAAACUCCAUAAUCAGCAGCAAGAAAAAAAUCUGUCGUUUCUAGCCAUUUUCGCCGCCUGCCAAUGCUUCCAGCUGCAGCCACUAGUGCCAUCGAGCUCGCCGACGACAGCAGCAUCCUUAGCCAUCGCCGCUGCACCACGGACGAGCCUCCUACACUGCCGCCGCCGAUGGUCGACGCCCUCUUCUUCUUCUUCUCUUUCUUUUCUUUCUUUUCUUUUCUUUCCUUCUUUAUCGACACUUUGGUCCCUGAACUUUUCUUCUUUACCAUUUAGUCCCUCAACUUUUUAAUUACUAACAAUUUCGCACUGCAAAAUUUUCAAUUAACCCUUUAACUUUUCUUUAGUUUUUCAAUUAAGCCCCUAACUAUUUAAUUUGGGCCAAAUUAAAAUCAAUAAAAAUAUAGAACUACUUAUUUACCCUUGCUUUUAAAUUUAAAAUUACCAAAAUGUCCUUACCUACACAUUUAAUUAUAAAAAUACCAACCAUACAGAUUUUCAUUUAAAACUCCAAAUUAAAACAAUUAUAUUUUCAAUCCUUAUUCCAAAAUUAAUUGUCAAUUUAAUCCUAACACUUAGUUAACUUAAUUAAUCAAUUUACUAACUAUUUUUCAAUUAAAAUCAACACCAUUAGCUAAUUAAAAUUUACUAUUUUUUAAUAAAUUCUUUUUAUAAAAAUAUUAUUUACCAACUCUUUCAUAACUUUUAAAUAUAGAAAUUAAUUCAUAUACUCAUAUAGGGAGAAAAUUAAAUGACCAAAAACAUAAUUUAUUGCUCAAGGAAUUUACUUAAUUAAUUUCUUGAAAUCAAACUAAUUUGAUAUAGAAAAAUAACUCUCUUAUUUUUAUCUACAAUUGAAAUUCUAUUUUAAAUCAUCUCAAUUAAAUUAAUUAAAAAUAAAGUAAUAUAAAUUUAAAUAAAAACUCAUUAUUAAUUAUUAUUAAUAUUAUUAUUAUUAUUAAAAGAAAAAUUUCAAGAUAUUACAAGCAUUUUCAAUUUUUUUUUGUUUUUAGUACAUUUUAAAAAGUUUAUGAACGAAAUUUGGGGUCAAAACAAUUCAGCCAUUUUCUAAAAAUAAUGAUAUUUUACGUUUAAAAAUAGAAAACAACCAUUUUCUAUAUUUUACAAAAAACUAAUUAUAUAUAUACACAUAUAUAACCUUUCAUAUAUUUUAUUUUGUUAUAUAUAUAUAUAUAUAUAUAUAUAUAUAUAUAUAUAUAUUUAUAUUUAUAUAACCUUCCAUAUAUUUUAUUUUUUUGAAAAAACAAAGAAAAUAUUUUGUCCUUAAGAUCAAGUUGUUGCGAGUAAUAAUGGAAGCUGAGAUACUCAAAGUUGAAUGGGCAAGAGGCCUGUCACGACCCCAUCCAUGGACCCGUGACCAGCACUAGGGAAUGGGUAGGCGUAAGGCCACCGAAUUCCCUAGUAAACCUGAUAUUUUUCUGAUGCCACAAUUAUCUUAACAUUCAAAUUUUACAUAAUUAAUUCGAUCUGCCAAAAAAAUUAGGCGAGACCCGAAACUACAGAAAAUUACAUCUGAUACAUCUACUAUUACUACUGUGGAGAAUCUAAGAUUUUACAAAUUAACAUACCAAAUCAAAUACACCACCUGAUGAUGAAGGAGUCGGGUUACUCAUUAAGAGUCAAGGAAAAACUAUCAGUCCCGAAUCUGAAAGAAAAAAAAAGUAAAUUGAGACUGUCAGUCUUAAGAGUGAGUUAAAAUCAAAUAAUCAAUAGACUAUUGCAGUCUUCACAAAAAAUAUUAAUUAUUCGAAUCAGUAUAUCAAACCCUGAACAUAAAUACAAAUCAUAAUAUAAUCAUACCAUAAUAAAAAUAAUGAAAAAUAAAUAAAUCAAAACAUAUUUUUACUUUUACGGGACGAGUGGCUCAGUAGAAUCCUAACCCCAAAUUCUACUAGCUUUCUCCCGCAUUAGAGGGGAAAAUUAGCAAAGCGAGAAAAGACAGAAGGAGAGAGAGCAGCAUCUUAUUCUUUUUGCGAGAACUUCCAGAUCAAAAAAGCAUUCGGAACUGGCGAGUGCGCUAGUUGGUCUUACAGACUGACGCCCAGAGAGCAAUGCUCGACUAAGGACCUUACCUCCAGUUUGGUCAUUUAAGUAUCCAAAUAAGCCGGCGCCCAGAGAGCAAUGCUCGACCAGGGACCUUACCUCCGACAAUUUACUCAAAUCAGCCUAGAGAGCCAUGCUCGACUAGGGAAAAACUCAUAAUAAUCUUAUUACCUGUCCAUGAUCAUUACCGGUGCGCACGCGGUCCUGAUGUAGCCCAUCAAGUGGCAUUGUUCUAUGAAAGCCACAUUUCCCAAAUCACAAUCAUCACAUUUAAUAAAUAUCAUUGUCUAAUGAAUUCAUUCAACACAUAUCGAAAUAAAGAUUAAAUAUUUAGGGUAAAGCAACAUGCAAUUUGUGUGGAAAAAAAUAAUAAUAUUCGUAUUAUUAUAACAUUACUAAUAAUAAUAUUUAUAUUAUUUUCAAUAAUUAAUAAUCAAGUGAAAUUAUUUAUAUUGCAAUACUAAUAAUCAUAUUAAGCAUAAAUUUCUAAAAUAGCAUAUUAAAUUCAGACUUAGCAAUAGUGCAAUGAUUAAGUGACUUUAACUCACGAUUUGGCGACCUCCUAGCUCUGCUCCGAUGCCUCAGUUGGAGCGAGCCGAACAGACAGUUCAUCUAAUCACGGAAAACUAAUUUAUCAAUUACGCUGAACAAUUGACAAUUAACCCUAGGUCUAGAUUCCUAAGACUGACUGUCUAAGAAUCUCGACUCGGGAGAAUUCUACCGAAAAUCCGGCAGAACCUCCCCUACAACACGGACAUUUACCCCUCGUAAAACGGCUCUAGGACCUGCCAGAAAAAUACUAGAAAUAUCCAACAAUUUAACACAACGGGAGUCGGGUCCUAAAAACUUCACUAAUUUUCCGACUCCGCCACUGAGCACAAAAAUCACAACUACGACAGGUAGUCCGACAAACUAUUAUUUUUGACUCACAAAUAUCAUCUAAUACUCAACACAAAUCAAUAAGCAUAAAUUAAAUCAAAGAAUUCCAAAUCAACGGGUCAGAGAAUUACCGAGAUGCUUAAUCGCUCGGUUAGACGAUCCGAACAUACCAUCGGACUCGAAACGACACGCUGAUGAUGAUCCCCGCUUCCGAUUUUCUGAUCCGACCCCCGAUCACCCGGAGAGAUUUGCGGAUGAUCUCGGUCGUAAAUUCGUAAACGAAGCCCGAUCGCCACGAAUCUAGUGCCAUUGCGAAGCUUGAGCUGAGGAGAGUUGGGAUACGUCUUCCGAUCAUCCAUAGCUCACCGGAGCUCGCCGAAAAAUCUGAAAAACCCCGGCUGCCCCCUACUUUCUCUCUCCACCGGUUCUUCCAUCUCCGGCCACCACAUGCGUCGCUGCUGCUGCCAAAAAGAAGCUCUCUUCGAGGAAGCCGAUCACCACCGAGAUCGGCCGACAAGGCCGCUGGAAACGGCCGGAAAAUCACCUAGAAGUCGCUGCCUCCUUGCACGCUUCCGCUGCCUGCCGAUGCCACUAGAGCCGCUGCCGCCGCUGCCACUGCGCUCGCCAGCGCACGCCGCUCCGUAGGCCAGUGCUCCACACCCGCGGCAGUCGCCACCCACGCCCGCAGCGCUUAACUCUUCUUCUUCCUCUUCCUCGCUUCUUCUUUCUCUCUCCCUGAUCUUCUCUCUUCCUUUUCUUCUUUCUUAUUAGGCCCUCAGACUUUCCUUCCUUACAAUUUGGUCCCUCAACUUUAUUAAUUACUUACUAUUUCAUCCUGCAGAAUUUCCAAUUAACCCUUAAACUUUCCUUUAGCCUUUCAAUUAAGCCCCUAACUAAUUAAUUUGGGCCAAAUUAGAAUUAUUGAAAAUAUAUAAUUACAUAUAUACCCCUGACCGAUAUAUUUAUUUACAAAAAUACUAAACUUACAAAUUUCCAUUAAAAUCCCAUAAUAAUAAAAUUAUACUUUUAAUCCUUAUAUCAAAAUAAAUUUCCAAUUUAGUCCUAAAAUACAAUUAAAUUAAAUAGCCAAUUUGCUAAAUAUUUUUCAACUAAAAAUUAAAUACCACUAGCUAAUUUAAAUACCAAUUUUUCCAAAAUUCUUUUAUAAAAACACCCUUUAUAAAUUCUUUCAUAAUUCUCUAAUAUAUAAUUUUAUUUAUAUAUAUAUACAUUUGGGAAAAAUUUGAAUAACCAAAAAUAUAAUUUAUUCCUCAAAUAAUUUACAUAAUUAGUUUCUUAAAGAUCCAACUAAUUGAGUAUAGAAAAAUAACUCAUUUAAUUGUCUAAUAUUAAAAUUUCUAUUAAAUCAUUUCAAAUUAAACCAAAUAAAAAUAAAAUAAAACUAAUUUAAAUAAAAAUUUAUUUAUUAAUUAUUAUUAAUAUAAUCAUUAUUAAGGAAAAAAUUUCGGGUAUUACAAGGCCGAUACGAUCAACUCAACUUGAUCGAUGAAACCAGAAUGAAGGCCAUGUAUCACACACAUAAUACCAGUAAAGGACUGCUCGAGCUUUUGACAAGCAUGUCAAGCCUCGACCUUUAAAGGUGGGUGAUUUGAUCCUUAAAGAGGGAAAACCGGUAGUUCUGAACCGUUUAGAUAAAUUUUGACCUAACUGGAAAGGCUGGUAUCUUGUUAAGAAGAUCUUCUCUAAAGGAGCAACAAUAUUAUUAGACUUCGAGGGCAAUGAGUUUAGUCAACCAAUCAACAUAGACAUGUUCAAGCAAUAUUACAUAUAAUAAAAGAAUAAUAAAAGAAUAAAAAAAUUUAAUGAAAUAAUAAGCUUGUUGGAUUGAAAAUGUGUAAAAAGUGGUCCAAGCAAAAAUUAGAGCGGCUCGAUCAGGUGAAAACCAAGAGGCACCUUAGGAAAAAAUAAGAACUAAAUAAAAGAAGAAAGAGUGCUUGGUUGGUUAGAAAACCUAAAAGGGCUAACCGAUUGCAAGAGUCGGACUGUUUUCGAUAUGUUUUAAGAUGUACUUCGGUUAAACUAAUUAAUGGUAUGACUCCUAAUUAUGAGAACAUGGUUUUUUUUUGGGAUUUUACAUGUUUUGCAAUUCUGAAACAACAUCUAACAAAUAAAUCAAUUUUCUUUUUUCUUUUUUCGCUAUUCUAAUCCUUAGUCAUUAACUAAUACAGGAACAAUACAACAUCAACUCUAAACGUCAGUGUGCCUGAGCGGCUGCCCAAGCUCUGGAAGUGUCAUCCACGGCAGAAUCACUCAGCUCCUGUAAGUUUGAAAGGAUGGUCUGGUAGCUCUAAGUGUUGCGGACGUGGUAUAAGAACCAAGCAAAGACAGGUCCUGGCUCGAAUUCUAGCAUGAUAGGAGGAAUCCUCUGCAGCCCUCAUACUGAUGGACAAGUAUGGAUAGGUUAUAAAAAGAACUGAAAUCAAGCUUUAAAAGCACCAAACAGGAGGUAUAGAUCUCCCUGACGAUCUUGGCAGCAAUGGAGCAAAAAUGUCUUACCUAGCAGCUCAAUGUGCAAAUCUGAAUCAUACAUGCAUAGACAUGCCCCUAAAAAGGCAACCACCUAGUAUAUACUCCAAAAGCAAUAUGUAUACUGAAUAUAUUAUAUAUUUAUGAUACUGGUACAUGCUAUACAAAUGAGUGUAUACUGCUCAUCCAACUAUAUAAAAUCAAAUUUAUAAAUAUCACAAAAAAUCCAAACUACCAUUAUCUAUUCUCGAGUUUCUAUAAAAAAAUAUUUUAAUUGUUAUAAAUCAAUUUUGCUAAAAACAAAAAUUUUCUCGUAAAAGCAUUUAAAUAAAAUAUACAAAUAUAAUACAAUUGAAAACAACACUGUUAUAAGCUUAUCCAUUCAUCUUGUAUACAGGACUCGAAUUUACUAUACGGAACUCAAGUCGCUAACUUUUUCUCAAACUAAUAUUCAUAUACUUAAUCCUAUAAGUUAUAUAGAAAUGAAAUUAGAAAUAAAUUUAAAAUUCUCUUUUCUAAUAAUUCUUACCUAAUAUCUAGCGUCAAACCCGAUUUAUAACAAUUCUAUUAAUUCUCUAAUUAUUUAAACUAAUUAAGGCUACUGAAAUUUUAACAGCAUCUCCUAUGUAAAUCGGAUUAAUUUUCACCGUAAAAUGGAUCCAAAACCUCCAAGCAAUCACAACUCACAAAAUACUCGUCCAGAGCCACAAAUUAUUCAUUUGAAAAGUCCAAUUAAACGUCCGUUUAAACUCCAGCAAAAAUAAUUACUUAUUUUUUUAUUAAUUACCUCGAGAUGAUUUAAUAACUAAUGCUAAUAAUAAGUACUCUUACUAAUUCAUUUAUCCUUUACAACAAUUGUUCAUAAUUCUGACUAUUAUAACUACCUCUAAUUUUAAAAUCCAAUUCAAUUCACCAUAUCUAUCAUAGGAAUAAUAUCAAUAUAAUUCUCCUUAUUUCCCUUUACAUUAACAAAUCUUUAAUUUAUUUAUAAAAAUAAUUAAUUUUUCACAUUAUCAAAAAUAAUCUAUAUAUUAUCAAAAUUUCUAUUUACUAAUAAUAUAUUUAAUCUACUAAGUUAAUUAAUAACCUAAAAUUAGACAAGCAAAAGAAAUUUAUCUCCACACACGUAACGCCUAUCGACUCAUUACCGGUCGUUGAUGUCUGUUCGAAGAUCCGAAGACACCAUCAAACUCGUCUCAAUGUAUAAAUCAUGGAUUAACUAUUAUUUUUUCCUAAAGAAUCGAUAAUUGACCAAAAAAAUAAAAAAUGCUCUUGACCAUCUGAUCAUAAACAGUGUCUGAUCGAGGUGAAACCAAUGACAUCUGAAAGGUCGUUUUCUAAGGAGUUCAUUUGUGUAUUUUAAUUUCUUAAUAAUCUAAACACUCUCCACAUCACAUGAUGAUGAACCUGAAAAUGGGAUUUGCAAAGGUCUAAUUCACUCUUCCACUGCUGUAAACGGAGCCAAAACAACAAGCAUAAAAACAAUAAUUAAGAAAUCGAGCCAUGAAAAAGAUUCAAGAAGAGUUUAUUUUAGCCAUCUAAAUAAUGUUUUAAGAUAAAUAUUGAAUUUUAAUGGAGAUUUUUAUUUUUCAGGCCAUAAAUUAUGUCUUAAAGAAAAUAAAUAAAUAAGAUAAAAAGCAAUUUUGUAAUUUCACAGAAAACUAAUGGUAAUAUAACUAAAAAUUAGACGAGAACAGCUUCUAGCAUAAUAUGAAAAAAGAGAGAUUUUAAAAAUUGAGGUCUUGAUUAAUGUAAUAUUGUAAAUCUCAAAACAGAAAUAGUAUUAGGGAUAAAUUAAAUUGGAGUACCAAAUUCUUCCUUUUAUACUAAAAAUAUAUUAAAUUUAUGAUAUAACUAAAUCAUCACUGAAAUUUAUACUUUGUAAAAAAAAAAAAUCAAAAUUUUGAUCUUAAAAGAUAUAUGACCUGUGCUUUUCUUGUAACAAAUCAAAGGUUUAAUAUAUUUUUGUUGCAAAAUGCAAAAUUUAACGACUAUCUAUAUGAAUUUACUAUCUAAGUGUGACAAAAAAUUCCAUUAAUGUUACUAAAGUUAAAGUUUAGCAAUUAUUGAAUUAUAAAUAAAAUAUUUUUUACUUUUUUAUUAUAAAGUGUAAAGUAUAAUAACCGCCAAUAUAAUUUAUUGAUAAUAUUACCUUAGAAUUUAUUUAUAUACCAAGUGAAAGAAACUGGAACUUAAAAUCGAUAAUAUUGCUUAGUUUUGCCUUUCUUUUUUUUCUUUUUUUUUAUCAGUUAUGGUGAAAACAUCACAUUUAACUUCAUCCCUUUGCAAGGUUGGUUUCAGUAGAUUUCUUAAUUAAUCACAAUUUCUUCACAAACCAAGACUUUAUUAAAGCAGAAUUUGGGUAAGGUACCCAGUACAAAAACUGACCAACUAUAUCAACAAAAAAUGGAAAAUGAAACGGUACAAGAACAAAAAUAAUAUAAAACAUAUAACGCACGCGAUAAAGUCACUCUCUUGUAACAGUUGCCUUUGCCAAGUUGUCUGCAUAUUUUCAACACUUAUAAAUUAGUCUAACAUGUUUAAUUUGGAAGCAUGCAUGUGAUUAUGCCGGGUACAAAUUUGCAGGCAAACGUGGCUUUGCGAGUGCAACUAAUGGUUUGGCAAGUGCCAAACUAUUCUUAGACUCUGAAAGAUCAAUGCUUGUCUCAUUAGGGGGCACGCUCCAGCUAAACCCUUGAAGAAGCCUAGCAAAUAACAUAACAGUCACUGCAGUUCCCAAUAUGAUGCCUGGACAACCUCUUCGUCCUGUACUAAAUGAAAGCAAGUUCAAAUCAGGCUCCGUCAGCAUCACUUGACAUCCAUUUCUCUUGAAAUGACGCUCUGGUUUGAACAUGUGUGGUUCAUCCCAAAUCCGGGGAUUCCGGCCGAGGCCGACUCGGCUAAGCAAGACAUGGCUACCUUUCGGAAUAAAAUAGUUAGCAACAGUUGUAUCUGCUAUGGAGACAUGAGGAAGAUUGAAGAAGACAAUAGGGUGGAGGCGAAACGCUUCUUUAGCACAUGCUUUUAUGUAAUUGAGCUGUGGAAAAUCUGACUCUUGGACUAGUCUCUCCCUUCCAACAACUCUAUCCAAUUCUUCUACUGCUUUCUCAAGAAGUUUCGGUUUGUUUAUCAUCUCUGCAAGUGCCCAUUCUAUAGCAUUUGAUGGAUUAUCUACUACUGCCAUCAUUAUUUCCUGCAAAAAUUGAUAGUUGAUAUUUAAUUAUUGAAAUUAGCUGGUGGGAAAUAUAGUAAUUAAAAUGAAAAACACAGUGAAAAUAUGCAUACAACUGGUAAUUUUCCUUAUAUCCAUACCAGGGAUAUAUUCAAAAAUAAAUUCUUUGUGAAGACAAUAGAGCGUGCAUGCACGCUUAAUUUGAUAUAUUCAUUUAACAAAAUCACCAGUUGAUAUUUAGCUUUGUUGAAAUCAGUUGGUAGGAACUAUUGUUAUUAAAAUGGAAGAUGCAAUAAAUUUGAAUCUUAACCAACAUAUUUAAUGUUUGCCGAACUCAAAAUGACGAACUGAACUUCUUGCAAGAAAGGACAUGCAAAUGGAAUUUUCCUUAAAUCCAUUUCUUAAAUCAGGUGCAAAAACAUUAUAUUUCGAAUGUGUUGUGAGAGGGAGUGAGAGAGAGACGGAAUUUACAGUAAUUUGAGCUUUAAUCUCUUCUGUUGACAGCAAAGAGUUGCCACUGGCAUCUUCUAGAUUUAUGAAAACGUCAAGCAAGUCAUCCACUUCCUUUUUGGUGCCAUCCUUCCAUUGUUGGACCCUCUCUUCAAUUAUGGGAUCUUGAUAUUUAUUUAUGGUCCCAAGAGCAUCCUUCAUGACCUUCCCAUGGCCAUCCAAGUCAAGCCCUGUCAAGCAUGGCAUGUAAUCAGAAACACAAAACGCAUAGCUAUGAGCAAGGACUGUGAAAAUCGCAUCAACAUGCUCUUUUUCCUCGAUACCAGGUCCUCCGUCCUUCAUUCCCUCCCCGAAGAACCUUUUGUUAAACACCAUUUUCCUUGUUACAUUUCCACAAUAGUGCCGUCCAGUGACUCUCACGUUAACUGAUCCACCUUCCUCAACAGUCUUGCAUUGGUUAUAUACAUAACGUACAAGGUGAUCAGCUGCUUCAAGUCUUUUUCCGUAAAACCACUUGCAUUUUUCCACAGAAAGAAAUUGCGUUACCAGCACUCUCCUCAUUUUCUUCCAUUGUUCUCCCAAGGGCACAGCACCUGUUGCCAAAUAACCUCUUGUAGUGAGAUCGGUGGACAUGGUUAACGGUCUGCUUGCAAAAAGAGCAUCCUGUACUUCCAAGAAUUCGCGGCUAAUCUCAGGAGAAGUGACAGGAAUCACAUGAACGUUUCCAAGACGGAUACAAGCAAUUUCAGUGUUCAUUUCUUUCAUGAGCUUGUGUAUCCAUCGAAAGGUCGGCUUAUUUGCUAGCAUCGUUGGCAGGCAUCCGACAAGAGGCCAAGGUUUUGGGCCAGGAGGUAGUGGGAGUUGCUUGGCGUUUUGGCUUUCUAGCUUUUGGAAUUUCGUCAAGUAAAUUAAGGCCAACGCCAAGAGAAGAACUAGGGAACAGGAGCUCAACAAUGUUCUGAGAAAGCCAAUGCCAAUUCCUGCCAAAUCUGGAGUGCCAUGAAGAGAAGCUAGCCUAGUGCAAGAUAUUANNNCUUGCAUGCUUUGCAGGAUGCUGUUUCGAACAAACUCUCACCUCUUUUAUCUCAUUUGCUUUUUUCUUUUCCUUCUUUUUUUGUUUACACAAUGCAAUAAUUAACUCUAUAAUCUCUCCCAUUUAUAGGGCUGAAUCCAAAAUCUACGAUGUAAUUCAAUAUAGCAAUGCAAUAGAACGAUUUGUUAAAUCUGAAUAAUACAGGACGCGUGAUCCGUAUUUAUACUUGUAUCUUAAUAACUCUACUGUAUAUACC